GAUGAACGCUGGCGGCGUGCCUAAUACAUGCAAGUCGAGCGAACAGACGAGGAGCUUGCUCCUCUGACGUUAGCGGCGGACGGGUGAGUAACACGUGGAUAACCUACCUAUAAGACUGGGAUAACUUCGAGAAACCGGAGCUAAUACCGGAUAAUAUAUUGAACCGCAUGGGUCAAUAGUUAAAGACGGUUUUGCUUUCACUUAUAGAUUGAUCCGCGCCGCAUUAGCUAGUUGUUAAGGUAACGGCUUACCCAGGCAGCGAGGGGUAAGCGACCUGAGAGGGAGAUCGGCUACACUGGAACUGAGAAAGGGUCGAGACUCCGGCGGGAGGAAGCAGUAGGGAAUCUUACGCAAGGGGGGAGAGGCUGACGGAGCAACGCCGCGUGAGUGAUGAAGGUCUUCGGCUCGUAAAACGCUGUUAUUAGGAAAGAACAAAUGUGUAAGUAACUAUGCACGUAUUGACGGUACCUAAUCAGAAAGCCACGGCUAACUACGUG
rnacentral:rRNA from 1 species